AGUGAAUAGAUACCCUGGUAGUCCACGCCGUAAACUAUGGAUGCUAGCUGUAUCCGGUAUCGACCCCGGAUGUAGCGAAAGCUAACGCGUUAAGCAUCCCGCCUGUGGAGUACGGUCGCAAGACUAAAACAUAAAGGAAUUGACGGGGACCCGCACAAGCGGUGGAGUGUGUUGUUUAAUUCGACGGUAAGCGAAGAACCUUACCCAGGCUUGACAUCCCUUGAAUUUUGUCGAAAGACGAGAGUGCUUUAUUGAACAAGGUGACAGGUGAUGCAUGGCCGUCGUCAGCUCGUGUCGUGAGAUGUUUGGUUAAGUCCAUCAACGAGCGCAACCCUUGUAACUAGUUGGAUUUUUCUAGUUAGACUGCCCUGGUAACAGGGAGGAAGGAGGGGAUGAUGUCAGGUCAGUAUUUCCCUUACGCCUGGGGCUACAAACACGCUACAAUGGCCGGUACAAAGGGCAGCCAAGUCGCAAGACGGAGCAAAUCCCAUCAAAGCCGGUCCCAGUUCGGGUAGCAGGCUGAAACUCGCCUGCUUGAAGUCGGAAUCGC
rnacentral:rRNA from 1 species